AACGAACGCUGGCGGCAUGCCUAACACAUGCAAGUCGAACGAGACCUUCGGGUCUAGUGGCGCACGGGUGCGUAACGCGUGGGAAUCUGCCCUUGGGUUCGGAAUAACUUCGGGAAACUGAAGCUAAUACCGGAUGAUGACGUAAGUCCAAAGAUUUAUCGCCCAAGGAUGAGCCCGCGUAGGAUUAGCUAGUUGGUGAGGUAAAGGCUCACCAAGGCGACGAUCCUUAGCUGGUCUGAGAGGAUGAUCAGCCACACUGGGACUGAGACACGGCCCAGACUCCUACGGGAGGCAGCAGUGGGGAAUUUUGGACAAUGGGCGCAAGCCUGAUCCAGCAAUGCCGCGUGCAGGAUGAAGGCCUUCGGGUUGUAACUAGCUUUUGUUACGGUAACGAAACGGGUAGA
rnacentral:rRNA from 1 species